ensembl:lncRNA SCTR-AS1 SCTR antisense RNA 1
AAUUAAUUGAGAAAGGAUGUGACAGGACUGGCACCUGGUCACUUUGUGGCCGUGAGCACCAGCUCCGCCUAUCCCCUCUGCAGGGCAGAAGGGACAGUGCUGCGGGAGGCGGAGGUGCUGUGGCUCUGGGAAGGCUGAAAAGGGACGGCUGCAAAGGAGAAGAGCUUCGAGUCCUUUCCAUCAGGAGAAAAACCCGGUCAGCUGUGGAGGAGCACUGCACAGGAGUCAGAAAGUGGAGUCUGGGCGUGACCUUGCACCUGACCAGCCUGGGGCUCUAGGUCCGCCACAUCUGGACUAAUCUCCUGUGUCCUGAGCUCCCAGGACCCCAGAGGCAAGCAUGGAGGGGCCACGCUGGCAGAUUGAAGUCACAGAGAAAGGCAGGAAAACUUCCUGGCUUAGGUUUCCAAAGGCCUCUGGGGGAUGAAGAGGUAUGCUGGGAUAAUCAAAGCACUUGGGAGAAAACAGAAAAAGAGCAAGAAUUCCCAGAGACUGGGGAGAGAUGGAGGGGAAGUGAUGAGCUGGGACAUGGAGGGUUCCAGAAGAGGUGCAAAUACCCUGCUGCCCAGCCAGCCCUGAGGAGGUGGGAUGGCCCAGAGGAGAAACAGCUGUGGGGGCAGGUCUAGAUGGGCAGACCACACACAGCCUUGCCGAGCCCAUGCCUCCCGGCAAAGCACAGGAGGGGCCAGUGGCCCAGGAUAGACAGGGCUCUGCCAGUCACCACCUGUGACUAACACCAUCAUCAGCUGCAGGCGAGAUCCCCCUGAACGUGGUGGUGCUACGUGAAUCUCUAGCCACCUGGGAAAAUUGCAGGGGAAGAUCCAGAAAUGUCUGCCAUCCCAGGAGAAUGCAAUCAGAAUUAAAGUCAGAAAACGGAGAAAGUUCUAUUUUUGCCCAAAGGGGUUUAUAGAUAAAGAUUCCUGGUCUUUAUAUUUGUGGAGCCCCUGGCCCUGGGCCAGGUCUGAAGCAGACCCAGCAAUGUCAGCUUCCUCUGUCCUGCCCACAGGGAUAGAGAGGUGGCCCCAGAGGCAGGUCUGGGUGGGUUGGGGGAGGACUGAGAGAGGGGAAAGGGCCAUCUCAGAGGGCAGGACAGUGCCUGGGAGUUUGCCCUGCAUUCACCUGGCAUGGAGCCUCUAUCCUCCAGUCCUCUAUUUAUAAAUAAGCUCAGAUGGCCUGAUAAAAACCUGGGACUAUUUCUGGAGCAAUGUGUCAGGCUGCAGUGGCAGGGGGCCAGGAACAGCCCGGCCCCCGGGGCCAUGCUGAACUGGGCCACUCACACCCCUCCAUGUCCCUGGUGCUCACUUCAUCGGCUGAUGGGGUCACCAGGGAAGCCACAGCUCCUCUUUGUCUUGGCCUUGUGUCUGUCCUCUCCUACCUUCUGCUUCUGCCGGUGUUUGCUCUUUCCUCUGCCCGCGGACCGCCACAUCCAUCUCUCAGGCACUUCCACUGCUCACCCCCACUCAUCCCUUUCUCCUCCCCAGAACCCACAGUGGCUUAGGACGAGCUCCUGCACAGCGGCCUGUUUCCCAAUUGCAUCGUGUAUCUCUUUGCCUCUCUUGGCUCAGCCAUGGCCCCAGCCCCAGGCCAUCCAAGGGGCAGCCUGGUGAGGUUUCUUCAACUUUGCUAAUGACUUGACCUACAGUCUUAAGUCAAGAAGGUGUCGCUCUCCUUUGUGAUGGCUGGACGCACAGGAGCUGUGGUCAGGAUGGGGCUAGAGGAGCUGAAAUCCCAGGGCAACAAGGGUAUUUAAAAACACAUCGCAGGAGAAACAGCUAAAGAGUCUUGGAACCAGGAAUCAUAAGCUGUUUGAUGGGAUGAACUAUCUUGGGAGUGAUGAGGUCCCCAUCACUGAAAGUAUUCAAGCAGAGAGAGUCAUGGAAUUAGGAGACGGAAGAGCAUCAGACACUGAAUGAAGUCUGCACUACAUGAGAUGAAGAACCCUUCCAGCCCUGAGGCCGAGCAGCCACUUCUCUGGAGCAGGCUGGCCCAUCUAUGUCCAGGAGGCCAGCCCCAGGCUAGCUUCUGAGCACGGGGAGCUAAGUCCUUCGCCUUCCAGAGACUGCACAAAGUGUGUGCCACCUCCACAGAACCCUCCUCAUCCACCCGAGAACUCUUCCUCACCUGACCUAAAGCUCUUCAUUUCAUACCACCUUUCAAGCGAAUUAAGGAUUAAUUGCCAGCAGCAAUCUCUGUCUUUGUUUGUUUUCUCUAAUGGAAAACCUUUCUCUCGGGAGGGUAAGGUUAUCAGUCAUUCACAGCUCAGUUGUGCUGUGUUUGAUUAGACUGGACGGCAAAGCUGAGUCCUGUUUCGGCUCUGUGCGAUCCUGGGCCCCUUGGAGCCUGUUUUCUCAUCUAUGAAAUGGGAGUAAUAAUAGUGCUUAUUGCACAGUUGUUUUAAGAACUAAAAAUUUAAAUUGCCUAGAAUGUUAUACAAACAUAAGCUGCCAUAUUUUGGAAAAAUGAGCCAAGAUCAGUGGUGCCAAGGGAAGAAUGGGCAGAGGUGAGCUGUGGGCAGCCGUGGAGGAUGGUCCACGGUGUGGCUGCCAGAGGGCAUCGGGGGCCAGGCAACUCCAGAAAGGAGCUAGGAAUGUUAGAGAAAACUGCACUAACAGCCAGCAUGCGUGAAGAACUGAUUCAUACUACACCGUGGAUGAACCUCAAGAACAUUAUUCUCGGCAAAAGCAGACAGACACAAAAGGUCACAUAGCAAAUGCUUCCGUUGAUAUGAAAUGUCCAGCACUGGCAAAUCCACAGAGACAGAAAGUAGAUUAGUAAUAGCCAGCGGCUGCAGACAGGGAAGGAGGGGAGUGAUGACUUAAUGGGUACAGGGAUUUUAUUUUGGGGUAAUGAAGAUAUUUUGGAAUGAGACAGAGCUGGUGGCUGCAUAGAGCACUAUGAAAGUGCUAAUUGCCAUUGAAUUAUUCACUUCAAAACAGUUAAUUUAACGCUAUGUGAAUUUCACC